rnacentral:rRNA from 1 species
GCGGAGGAAAAGAAACCAACAGGGAUUGCCUUAGUAACGGCGAGUGAAGCGGCAAAAGCUCAAAUUUGAAAUCUGGCACCUUCGGUGUCCGAGUUGUAAUUUGAAGAAGGUAACUUUGGAGUUGGCUCUUGUCUAUGUUCCUUGGAACAGGACGUCACAGAGGGUGAGAAUCCCGUGCGAUGAGAUGCCCAAUUCUAUGUAAAGUGCUUUCGAAGAGUCGAGUUGUUUGGGAAUGCAGCUCUAAGUGGGUGGUAAAUUCCAUCUAAAGCUAAAUAUUGGCGAGAGACCGAUAGCGAACAAGUACAGUGAUGGAAAGAUGAAAAGAACUUUGAAAAGAGAGUGAAAAAGUACGUGAAAUUGUUGAAAGGGAAGGGCUUGAGAUCAGACUUGGUAUUUUGCGAUCCUUUCCUUCUUGGUUGGGUUCUCCGCAGCUUACUGGGGCCAGCAUCGGUUUGGAUGGUAGGAUAAUGAUUAAGGAAUGUAUCUCUACUUCGGUGGAGUGUUAUAGCCUUGGUUGAUACUGCCUGUCUAGACCGAGGACUGCGUCUUUGACUAGGAUGCUGGCAUAAUGAUCUUAAGCCACCCG